GCCUACGGGGGGCAGCAGUGGGGAAUAUUGCGCAAUGGGCGAAAGCCUGACGCAGCGACGCCGCGUGAGGGAUGAAGGUCUUCGGAUCGUCCCCCUCUGUCCGCCGGGCAGCCCGGUCCCUGUGCUCAUCAGCAGUGAAUUGACGGUACCUGCAAAGGAAGCACCGGCUCACUCCGUGCCAGCAGCCGCGGUCAUCAGGCGGGUGCGAGCGUUCGUCGGCCUUCCUGGGC
rnacentral:rRNA from 1 species